ACGGGAGGCAGCAGUGGGGAAUAUUGGGCAAUGGGGGAAACCCUGACCCAGCAACGCCGCGUGAAGGAAGAAGGCUUUCGGGUUGUAAACUUCUUUUACCAGGGACGAAGAAAGUGACGGUACCUGGAGAAAAAGCCACGGCUAACUACGUGCCAGCAGCCGCGGUAAUACGUAGGUGGCAAGCGUUGUCCGGAUUUACUGGGUGUAAAGGGCGAGUAGGCGGGCUUGCAAGUCAGAUGUGAAAUACCGGGGCUCAACCCCGGGGCUGCAUUUGAAACUGUAAGUCUUGAGUGAUGGAGAGGCAGGCGGAAUUCCCAGUGUAGCGGUAAAAUGCAUAGAGAUUGGGAAGAACACCAGUGGCGAAGGCGGCCUGCUGGACAUUAACUGACGCUGAGGAGCGAAAGUGUGGGGAGCAAACAGGAUUAGAUACCCUGGUA
rnacentral:rRNA from 1 species